GCCGGAGUGACUGAGUGGCUAAAGGUGCCACCCUGGAAAGGUGGUGGGCAUUACCGCCCUCCUGGGUUCAAAUCCCAGCUCCGGCG
rnacentral:tRNA from 1 species